CCUACGGGCGGCAGCAGUGAGGAAUAUUGGUCAAUGGACGAGAGUCUGAACCAGCCAAGUAGCGUGAAGGAUGACUGCCCUAUGGGUUGUAAACUUCUUUUAUAUGGGAAUAAAAUGUUCCACGUGUGGGAUUUUGUAUGUACCAUAUGCAUAAGGAUCGGCUAACUCCGUGCCAGCAGCCGCGGUAAGACGGAGGAUCCGAGCGUUAUCCGGAUUUAUUGGGUUUAAAGGGAGCGUAGGUGGAUUGUUAAGUCAGUUGUGAAAGUUUGCGGCUCAACCGUAAAAUUGCAGUUGAAACUGGCAGUCUUGAGUACAGUAGAGGUGGGCGGAAUUCGUGGUGUAGCGGUGAAAUGCUUAGAUAUCACGAAGAACUCCGAUUGCGAAGGCAGUUCACUGGACUGCAACUGACACUGAGGCUCGAAAGUGUGGGUAUCAAACAGGAUUAGAUACCCGAGUAGUC
rnacentral:rRNA from 1 species